GGGACAGACACGCGACGCAUCUGGCUCCAACCAAAUAUUUUCAGUCAGUCGGAUUCCAAGGUAUUUUUAAACAUGGAGAGAACAAGCGAUGCAUAACAAUCUGUAAGGUAUGGGCAUAGACUCAGAAACAAUGAAC